rnacentral:rRNA from 1 species
AGUAACGCGUGAGAAUCUGCCCUCAGGAGGGGGAUAACGGCUGGAAACGGCCGCUAAUACCCCAUAUGCCGCGAGGUGAAACGAGUUUUCGCCUGAGGAUGAGCUCGCGUCUGAUUAGCUAGUUGGUGGGGUAAGAGCCUACCAAGGCAUCGAUCAGUAGCUGGUCUGAGAGGAUGAUCAGCCACACUGGGACUGAGACACGGCCCAGACUCCUACGGGAGGCAGCAGUGGGGAAUUUUCCACAAUGGGCGAAAGCCUGACGGAGCAACGCCGCGUGAGGGAUGAAGGCCUCUGGGCUGUAAACCUCUUUUCUCAAGGAAGAAGAUCUGACGGUACUUGAGGAAUAAGCCUCGGCUAAUUCCGUGCCAGCAGCCGCGGUAAUACGGGAGUGGCAAGCGUUAUCCGGAAUUAUUGGGCGUAAAGCGUCCGCAGGCGGUCUUGAGAGUCUGUUGUUAAAGCGUGGAGCUUAACUCCAUUUCAGCAAUGGAAACUAGAAGACUAGAGUGUGGUAGGGGCAGAGGGAAUUCCCGGUGUAGCGGUGAAAUGCGUAGAUAUCGGGAAGAACACCAGUGGCGAAGGCGCUCUGCUGGGCCAUAACUGACGCUCAUGGACGAAAGCCAGGGGAGCGAAAGGGAUUAGAUACCCCUGUAGUCCUGGCCGUAAACGAUGAACACUAGGUGUCGGGGGAAUCGACCCCCUCGGUGUCGUAGCCAACGCGUUAAGUGUUCCGCCUGGGGAGUACGCACGCAAGUGUGAAACUCAAAGGAAUUGACGGGGGCCCGCACAAGCGGUGGAGUAUGUGGUUUAAUUCGAUGCAACGCGAAGAACCUUACCAGGGUUUGACAUCCUGCGAAUCCCUUGGAAACGAGGGAGUGCCUUCGGGAGCGCAGAGACAGGUGGUGCAUGGCUGUCGUCAGCUCGUGUCGUGAGAUGUUGGGUUAAGUCCCGCAACGAGCGCAACCCACGUCUUUAGUUGCCAGCAUUCAGUUGGGCACUCUAGAGAGACCGCCGGUGAUAAACCGGAGGAAGGUGUGGAUGACGUCAAGUCAUCAUGCCCCUUACAUCCUGGGCUACACACGUACUACAAUGCUACGGACAAAGGGCAGCAAACUCGCGAGAGCUAGCAAAUCCCAUAAACCGUGGCUCAGUUCAGAUCGUAGGCUGCAACUCGCCUACGUGAAGGAGGAAUCGCUAGUAAUCGCAGGUCAGCAUACUGCGGUGAAUACGUUCCCGGGCCUUGUACACACCGCCCGUCACACCAUGGAAGUUGGCCACGCCCGAAGUCGUUACUCCAACCC